CUAUUUAUCAACAAAUUACACCAACAAAUAUAGUACUCUUGUGGGCUGCAUUUCUAGCUUUAUAAACCUCAUGCCAAAUUUUGACAACUUAUAAUAUCUAGUAGAGGUAAAUGUUAAACUGCCUGACCAAUGACUCUAAACAACAAUGUAUAUUGACAAUUCUGAAGAUAUUUCUAAUUUUAUUUUACCAAUAACUUUAAAACCAGCUUAUUUAUUAAGAAUUUACUUAAGUUACAUAAACUUGAAAAAGCAUUUGGGCUUAAGGUUUCUAUUUUUCUAAUAAAGUAUUUGAUUUAAGCCCCUUUUUUCCCUUUAAGGCCAAAUAAUUAGAGCUGUUUUAUAUAUCUUUGAUAAUGAAACAUAUACAUGACACAUAAAUACAGACAUGUAUUAGACACACAGGUAGAAAUAGAUCUUAGAUUUGUAAGACCUCCUCUUUUUUCCCCUCUUAUUUUAGACUUCCAAUUUUUUUUUUUUUUAGAUGCAGUCUCACUCUGUGGCCCAGGCUGGAGUGCAGUGGCGUGAUCUUGGCUCACUGCAACCUCCAUCUCCUGAGUUCAAGCAAUUCUCCUGUCUCAGCCUCCUAAAUAGUUGGAAUUACAGGCAAGCACCACCACGCUCAGCUACAGGAAUUUAGCCAAUUCAGAGGAAAUCUUCCCCAUAAUUAUGGAACUUUCUUACAGAUUUUACCAAGUCUGGUCAACCCAAUAAGAAAAAGACUGAAAUAACAACAACAACUUCAACAAAUAAAAAAAAACAGUUAAGCUAAAUAAACAGAUGAUUGCAGAAUUUAUGUGAUUACUGGGUACUCUAAUGGUAAGGAGAAAUUAAGACCAGCUAGUUGUUAAUCUUAACUUUUAGUCAUUAAGGAGAAUUUCCAAGACAAAACUGCAAUCCAGCUGCUUACCUAGGAAUACGGCUUAGGCUGAAAACUUCUAUCGUCUUAGAAAUGGGAAUAAACCUCACACUCACCGUCCCUGUUGGAAGCAAGCUGAAACUCCAAAAAAAAAGUUGCCUGUUGUCCAUCAUCAUGGUGAAGCGGCGUCGUUGUCUGGGAACCCAAUUGGAGACGUUGGAUAUUUUAUCAAGUCUUUGACUGGAAUGACAUUUUUUCAGAAAUAACCAGACUGCUUUGAGGAAUUAAAAUUGACUUUAAGGGCUGAGAAAAACCCCUUGGAAAAACUGGCAUGGUACCCUCUGCAUGCAAUUCCUUUACAAAGCUCCUGACCUGUGUUCUGAAGGCUGGGAAGUCCAAGAUUAAGGCGUCAACAGGUCUUGUGUCUGCUGAGGGCUGUCUCCCUGAUUUGCAGAUGUCUGCUUUCUUGCUGUGUCCUCACAUGGGAAAAAGAGAGAGAAUUUGCUGGUAUUCCUUUUUAUAAGGACACUAACCCCAUUCAUGAGGGUCCCACCCUCAUGACCUCGCCUAAACCUAUAACCUCCAAGGACUCCAUUUCCAAAUACCAGCAACCACAUGUGUGAGCUUAGAAGAGGAUCCUUCCCCAGGUGAGCCUUGAGAUGACCCUGGCCUGUGACUUGAUGGCAGCUUUUGAGAGACUGAGCCAGAGGCCUCCAGACUGCUUACUUGUUAAGGUAAGAAGCACCUGUGAGUCUACUACUCAUUGCUUUAACCUGGCCAUAAUUUACAUUUAGCUUUAUAGUCCCCCUACAUUUCAAAACCUUCUCUUCUUCCCACCAAAAGUAACAGUCAUCCCACCACUUUGUUAAUUAACCCAUUUUUAUUUAUGUAUUUUUGUUGCUUCUAUAAUUUUGCCAAUAUAUUUUAUUUCUAACUUUAUAGAAAACAUAUACUAAGCAAUCUUCUUUCCCCACUCAAUAGUAUAUUUCUAAAUAUACUAUUUAGAAAUAUAAUAUAUAUUAUAUUAUAUUUAGAAAUAUAAUAUAUAUUAUAUUAU
rnacentral:lncRNA from 10 species